GAUGAACGCUGGCGGCGUGCCUAAUACAUGCAAGUCGAGCGAACAGACGAGGAGCUUGCUCCUCUGACGUUAGCGGCGGACGGGUGAGUAACACGUGGAUAACCUACCUAUAAGACUGGGAUAACUUCGGGAAACCGGAGCUAAUACCGGAUAAUAUAUUGAACCGCAUGGUUCAAUAGUGAAAGACGGUUUUGCUGUCACUUAUAGAUGGAUCCGCGCCGCAUUAGCUAGUUGGUAAGGUAACGGCUUACCAAGGCAACGAUGCGUAGCCGACCUGAGAGGGUGAUCGGCCACACUGGAACUGAGACACGGUCCAGACUCCUACGGGAGGCAGCAGUAGGGAAUCUUCCGCAAUGGGCGAAAGCUUGACGGAGCAACGCCGCGUGAGUGAUGAAGGUCUUCGGAUCGUAAAACUCUGUUAUUAGGGAAGAACAAAUGUGUAAGUAACUAUGCACGUCUUGACGGUACCUAAUCAAAAAGCCACGGCUAACUACGU
rnacentral:rRNA from 1 species